AAAGUGCGAUAAGCAAUGCGAAUUGCAGAAUUCCGCGAAUCAUCAGAUCCUUGAACGCAACUGGCGCCAGGAGGCUCUCCUCCUGGCAUGCCUGUUUCAGUGUCUGAAAACAUCACAAUUCACCUUGAUGUGGAUGACAAAGACGGCUCUUCUGAGUCUGUCCAAGUCUUCCAUUAAAGAUGUGCAUGUGGGUCUUUGAGCCCCUCAUCGAAUUGGUCACUGUUCUCAGUGAUUUCGAUAGGGUUAACAUCAAUUACUCGUAUACAUGCAGUUCCAGUGUCGUCUAAUAGCGACACCCCUCAUCAUCAAGCUCUGCAUCUGAAAUCAGGCAAGAUCACCCGCUGAACUUAA
rnacentral:misc_RNA from 1 species